GUGUGUAUCUAGGGAGUAGUCACUUCAAAGUAAAAGUGAAUUCUCCUAGAUACUUCUAUUCAAUUUAAUUCCGGUCUGAAUAUAUAGACGGGUCUAAAGGUGCAAAGCCAUUUCAAUUUUCUCGUUUUUUUUUUUUUUUUCGGUAAAUCAAUUGUGAAAUGCUUUUCUAUUUCUUUUCUAGAAUACUCAUUAUCUGCUUUACAUCCUCUAUGCGAAAGUGUUCAAUUUUCAUAAGGUCUUCUUGACGCGUAUUCAAAAGGUCGAAUAAUGUAUGUUAUUGGACUUUUUGAGACCAAUUAUAGAUCCUGGGAGACAUUUCUGAUUGGUCAAUUAAAAAUCGAUUUCAAUGCGAUUUCUUUUUUUCUUUUUCGUUAGUUUAAGCCAAUCUAUCAUGAAAAGUAAAAAAGGGUAAAGUAACCUUGUAUUGAUUGUUCUCUAAAGGUAAGGUUUUCGUCUUCUGCCUGGAAGAAAGGAAUAAAUAAAUCAAUCAAACUCCGGGAGGCUUCAUGAAGUGCUUCUUUAGGAGUUAAACUUCCGUUUGUCCAUAUUUCUAGAAAAAGGAUCUCUUGUUUUUCAUUGCCGAUUCCCAUAAGACUGAAUACUAUGAUUCGCAUUUCGAACCAGGCAUGAAUACAGCAUCGAUAGGAUAACAAUUUCCGUCUUGAAAGGUAUUUGGCGUUUUUUAUAUUAUAUCCUCGACUCCUCUCUCGAUUUGUAAUCCAAUAGACAAAUCAAUUGGUUCUGUUAGGCUAGCUAUGUGCUGCGUAUUAUCAACGAUUUCCACAGAAGGCGGCAAGAGGAUGUCUUGAGCAGUUACAUAUCCCGGGCCUUUGACACAAAUAAGCGCGUCACAAGUUCCAUAAAGAUUACUUCUCAAUACAAUAUCUUUCAAAUUCAUUAAAAUUUCAUGUACCGAUUCUUGAAUACCCACUAUGGUAGAAUAUUCGUGUGGAAUUUUUUCAGAUUUUGCGCGUGUAAUACAUGUUCCUUCUAUUUCUCCAAGCAAAACUCUUCGCAUCGCAAUGCCUAUUGUGUCGGCUUGACCUUUCAUAAGUGGAGACAAAAUAAAGCGCCCAUAAUAAAGACGCUUACUGUCUGCUCUUGAUUCAACACACUUCCACUGUAGUGUCCGAGUAGAUACUUUUACUUUCUCUCGAACCAUAGUAAUAUUAUUUGUCAGAUCAUUGAGUCAUUUAUUUCUCUUGAAAUCUCUUCAAUGUUUAUUUCUACACCCGUCUUUUUUUAGGGGGUCUGCAACCAUUGUGUGGCAUAGGGGUUACAUCCCGUACGAAAUUUAAAAGGAUACCGCUUCUACGAAUAGCUCGUAAUGCCGCAUCUCUUCCGAGACCAGGACCCUUUAUCAUGACUUCUGCUCGUUGCAUACCUUGAUCCGCUACUGCUCGAAUAGCAUUUCCUGCUGCGGUUUGAGCAGCAAAAGGCGUACCUCUUCUUGUACCCCUGAAUCCACAAGUACCGGCCGAGGACCAAGAAAUUACCCGACCCCGGACAUCUGUAACAGUCACAAUGGUGUUGUUGAAACUUGCUUGAACAUGAAUAACGCCCUUUGGUAUUCGACGUCCACUUUUACGUGAACCGAUCCGUCCCGGCCUACGUGAACCACUUCGUGGUGGAGAUUUUGCCAUAUUUGAUCAUUUCAUAAAUAUAAGUCAGAGAUAUAUGGAUAUAUCCAUUUCAUGUCAAAACCGAUCUUUUAUGUUGAUUUGUUCAUCGGUUACUUUCUAAACUUUUCGAAAGAUUAUCCUUGUCUUUGUUUAUGUCUCGGGUUGGAACAAAUUACUAUAAUCCGUCCCCUCCUGCGGAUCAGUCGACAUUUUUCACAAAUUUUACGAACUGAAGCCCUUAUUUUCAUAAUUGUUAUUCCUUAAAUGAAUUUCGAAUCUCCUUAUUGGAAGUUGGAAGAAAAUAAGUUCUUGAAAUUUUGAACGCGAUUUGUAUCCCCCUGAAAGGAAUGUUGAAAAAUCACCUAAUCACUCAAAUCCUUUUGUGUAGUCUAUAUAUUAUUAUUAUAUCCUCCAGUUGAAUCUGAAUCAUAAACGACUUCCUUCAAUUUUGCCUCUAGCCACCGGGGAGUAGAUGUAGAAAAACGGGUCGCAUCCCUCCUGAAACAUAAUCUAGAAUCUUACUUCGCUCUCUAAACUAUCUAAAAGAACCCGGAGCAUACCUUUGGUAAGUUAUUCGGUAAUUAAACCUCGAGGAAUCCUCCCUUUUUUUUUCUCACAACAUAAAAGUAAGCUCCAAAUACAAUUCGGAUAGCAGAAUAAUUACCAUAUAUAACACAAAAUUUCUCCACCGAUUCUUUCCAGUCGAGCCGCUCGGUCUGUCAUUAUACCCCGAGAAGUAGAGAGAAUUACAUCCCCAUCCCAUCUAAAAUUCUAGGAAUUCGUCGAUAGUUAAAAUAGAUUCGUAGACCGGGUCGACUGAUUCGUUUUAAAUUUAAAAUGGGUCUAUACGGCCCUUUCCUAUUCCUUCGAUGUCGUAGGGUUAAAACCAAAAACUCUUUUUUGUUUUUGUUUUCCACGAGUUUCCUUGCGUUUUCGAUAAAACCCUCUCGCAAAAGGAUUUUAACAACGUUUUCGGUUGAUGUUAGUAGAUGCUAUUCGAACCGUUCCCUUUCUAUUCAUGUCAGCAUUUCGUAUAGAAGUUAUUAUGUCAGCAAUAGUGUCCUUGCCCAUGAUAAACUGAAAAUUUUGUUGCUUCCAAAUUUUGAUAUAAUCAACAUGUUCUUUUUUUUAUGAAAAUUAUUAAAAGUAUAUGCGUGAGACAUACUCUACUAAAUUUUGAUUUAUCUAUUUUAUUUUCAUACUAUCACUAUAUCGCGGUCCCCUCUUAUAAUACUUCAGGUGCUAAUGAAACUAUUUUAGUAAAAUUCAACUGUCUCAAUUCCCGGGGCGAUCGCACCAAAAACUCGAGUUCCCUUUGGAUUUCCUUCGUGAUCAAUGACAACUGCAGCAUUGUCAUCGUACCGUAUUAUCAUACCGUUAUCACGUCUGAGUUCUUUACAAGUACGUACAAUUACAGCUCUGAUCACUUCUGAUCUUUCUAGAGGCGUAUUGGGUACUGCUUCCUUGAUCACAGCAACAAUAACGUCACCAAUAUGAGCAUAUCUACGAUUACUGGCUCCUAUGAUUCGAAUACACAUCAAUUCUCGGGCACCGCUAUUGUCUGCUACAUUCAAAUGGGUUUGAGGUUGAAUCAUAUCGUUUUUUGAGUCCGUUUUUUUAAUGUUUAAUUUAAAGUAAAGCACUGAAAGGACGAAAGUAAAAAAAAAGGGACAAGACCCGCAUUUUUUAUACCAAGAUUUAUUUCCUUUGUUUCGACAUUCCUAUCCCGAAAUAAUGAAUUGAGUUCUUAUAGGCAUUUUUGGACGCCGCUAUUGAAAUAGCCUUUCGAGCUAUAUUUUCAGCUACUCCACUCAUUUCAUAAAGUAUUCUACCCGGUUUAACGACGGCUACCCAAUAUUCGGGGGAUCCUUUACCGGACCCCAUACGGGUUUCCGUGGGUCUUAGUGUAACGGGUUUGUCUGGAAAGAUACGUACCCAUAUUUUUCCACCGCGCCGUACAUUUCGUGUCAUUGCGCGGCGCCCCGCUUCGAUUUGUCUAGAUGUGAUCCAAGCGGGUUCAAGUGCUUGAAGAGCAUAUCUGCCGAAACAAAUAUGAUUACCUCGAUAAGAUAUCCCUUUCAUUCUUCCUCUAUGUUGUUUACGGAAUCUUGUUCUUUUGGGGUUAUAAUUGAUGGUUCUUUCUCAAUGCCAUCUCUACUACAGAACUGGACAUGAGAGUUUCUUCUCAUCCAGCUCCUCGCGAAUGAAAGGACUAAAAACGAUUUUAUCAAGAUAUAGGGGAAUUUAAUGAAUAAUAUACUGAAGCAUAGGAUUUUUUGAAAGUUCAUCUAAUUAAUCUAUUCUAAAUUUGUAUAUCAUGUUUAGAUAUAGAAUUGAAACAUUUAUGUUCUAUUUAUAGAUAAUCUCAAUGUCUUUUUUUUUUUUUUUAUCGUUAUAACAAAUCUUUAUUUUGUUUUGCCCUUUACCAUAUCGGAUCGAGCAAAAAUGAAUCAAUCCAAUAAAAUCAAAAAAAUAAACCUUUCGCGGGCGAAUAUUUACUCUUUCAAUAUCUAUUUCAGUUGUAGGGUUAGUUCAUGACCUCUACGAAUAAAAGAAUAGUUUAGUUCCUGGGUUCGUUUCGCCAUCCCACCCAAUAAAUCAUUAAGAUUCAUUUCCAAUAGAAUCUUCUUUUUCUUUAUUCACGGGUUCCGUCGUUCCCAUUGCUUCUCGAUUAAUGGUUAGGUCUGAAUUCUCCAACGGAGCCCUUAAUGAAAUUUUUUCUUAAGUCAAUUUUCUCAGUUUUUAUUGGCUCGGGGCUCUUGAUUUUUUUUGUUCUAUGAGCGGAUUCAUCUAGUUAGGGAUGAAUCAUUAUUGAUGCUAUAUUACACUGUUUUUUAUGAGAUGACUUACAGACCUUACAUAUUGGAAUCUUAUAUCAUUGAUAUUUUCUUUCUCUCUUUCUCUCAUCCUUCCAUUUAUCCGCAUGCUUUUCGAUUUUCUUUCACAACUUCGAACUUCACAACCUACAAUCAGAUUGGGUUUUUAUGUUAUGCAAAUUUCAGUUGCUACAACGAUAUGACCACUAUAUUAUAUCUUGACUGGUUCUUUGGAUUCAGAUAAUACGAAGCAAUGAGUUGGUUAUUAGUGCUAUAGUUAUUAGUUCAUACUACAGGACGGUCCAUUUUUUGGAAUCCUAGCCCUAAAAAAAACCAACGGAGUCGCACACUAAGCAUAGCAAUUAUAUAAAAAAAAAAAAAUCAAUCGAAUUUUUAUUCAACCCCUAUAGAAAUUGCGGAAUUUCUCAUUUUUGUUUUGAUUGAAGAUAAAAAGAGCUCGUUCUUUGUUUGGUUUAUUUCCAUUAAUGGGGGGGCUCUAAAGACCCGUAAACUCUUAUUUUUUUUCGUCUACAAAUAUCCAAAUUUUGAUUCCCAAUACCCCGUAGAUAGUUCGAACCGUAUAGGAACAAUAAUCAAUUUUAGCUCCAAUGGUUUGUAGAGGAACUCUACCUUCUCUGAUCCAUUCGGCGCGCCGCAAUUUCUUUUCCGUCAAGACGCCCUGCAAUUUGUACUUGAAUUCCUUUUGUAUCGGCCUGUUCCGUUAAUUCAAUUAGCUUUUUUCAUUGCUUUUCGAAAAGAAAACUCUAUUUUUUAAUUUGUUCGGCCUAUAAAUUCGGCAAGAAUAUUGGGGGUGUCCAUUAAGGAUUUGUAAUUCGUGUAAUAGCAAUGUUUAUUUUUCGAUUCACACAAUUAAGUUCUUUUUGUACAUUCAUCUGUAAUUCUUCAAUUCUUCGCGGUCUAUUUUCUAGUAAUAAUUUUGGGAACCCUAUAUAGAUUAUAACUUGAAUUAGAUCAAUUCUUUUUGAAUCUCUAUCCGUGCAAUCCCUCAACACCGGAAGAUAUUCUAUUUUUUUUUAUAUAAUUCUUAAUAAAGUUUCGUAUUUUUUGAUCUUCUUGUAGACCCUCGCAAUAGUUUUUUGGUUUUGCAAACCAAAGAGAAUGAUGACUUUGUGUUGUACCAAGCCGGAAACCUAGUGGAUUUAUUUUUUGUCCCAUAAUCCCCCAUUCCUAUAUGUAUCAUGACAUGUCAUAGUUUUUUUUUUUUUUUUUUAUUUAUUAAUCUAGUGUUUUUUGAGCACUCGAGAUCGAGAUAGUCUCUAUAUUCAUAUUCAGCUAAGGAUAUAUCUUUUAAAACAAUAGUUAUAUGACAAGUGGGUUUUUUGAUCAGAUAACUCCGCCCUCGGGCUCGAGGUUUUAAUCUUUUCGCAGUAGGACCCAUAGCUAUUCGGCUUUAAUAAUGAAUAAACUUCCUUCGUUGAAACCCAGAUUGUGAAUACCAUUUGCUGCUGCAGAAUAAACCAAUUUUAAAAUGGGAUAACAUGCUCGAUAAGGCAUGAGUUCGAGUAUCAUAAGGGUUUCCUCGUAAGAACGUCCACGAAUCUGAUCAAUUACCCUUCGGGCUUUGUGAGCAGACAUACAUAUAUGUUGACCUAAAGCAGAUACUUCUACCUUCUUCUUUAUUAUCCUUAUCAUAAGGUUCACCUCUCACCAAUGAAUCUAUAUUCACUUUAUUAACGACGGGAUCUAUUAUCAUUUUUGCAUGUCCACGGAAAUUGAUAGUGGGCGCAAAUUCUCCCAAUUUAUGUCCUACCAUACGAUCUGUUAUAUAAAUAGGCAAAUGCUCCCUUCCAUUAUGGAUAGCAAUAGUAUGGCCGACCAUUAAUAAGCGAUGUGGCAUAAUCUAGAUUAUGUUUUCGCUAGAUUCUAGAUUACUUACUUAAUAGUAUGGAAAUGCAUUCAUUUCUUCUGCACCGAUCCCGAUUUAUGAUACUAUCGGAGUGAAACAAGGGGUCUAAAGAAGAGCAGCGGCUAGACUAUAUUAGUAACAAGUAAAUCCUUUGUACGCGAAAAAGAAAAAUCUCAGCUCGAUCUUUUUUUUUUUUUGUUUUUGGAUAAGGGUGAAUCACAAGGGCUGAGACGACCCAGAAAGCUCUUGAUCAUGAUCAAUUUUGUAAGCCUACUUGGGUAUGGAGCAUACACCUGUAAGAACCGAAUUCCUUGCAAUUGAUAGUUGAAACUUCGUAAAACGGAAUCCGGUAAUUUUACAUAUAGAAUCAUCCCGAUAUGCGUAAAAUAUAGAUUUUCGAAAAUCUAUAUUUCUUUUUUUAUCUAUUUCUUUUUUUAUAUGUAUCCUUUUAGUUUGGUUGAUUCUUGCUCGAGCCGGAUGAUGAAAAAUUAUCAUGUCCGGUUCUUUGGGGGGAUGGAUCUAUAAGAAUUCGCCUAUCCAAUAAACAAAAAAACCUGACUUGAAUGAUCCUGUAUUAAGGGCUAAGUUGGCUAAGGGUAUGGUCAUAAUUAUUAUGGAGAACCCGCAUGGCCCAACGAUCUUUUUAUAUAUUUUUCCAGUAGUAAUUCUAGGUACUAUUGCAUGUACCGUAGGCUUAGCGGUUCUAGAACCAUCAAUGAUUGGUGAACCCGCGAUCCCAUUUGCAACUCCUUUGGAAAUCUUACCCGAAUGGUAUUUCUUUCCGUAUUUCAAAUACUUCGUACAGUACCAAUAAGCUGUUGGGUGUUCUUUUAAUGGUUUCAGUACCUACGGGAUUAUAACAGUACCUUUUUUUGGAAAAUGUUAAUAAAUUCCAAAAAUCCAUUUCGCCGUCCCGUAGCGACAACCGUCUUUUUGAUUGGGACCGCAGUGGCCUUGUGCUUGGGUAUUGGAGCAACAUUACCUAUUGAAAAAUCCCUAACUUUAGGUCUUUUUAAAUUGAUUCAAUUGUAAAAUAUCAUGACGUGUGUAUCUAGGGAGUAGUCACUUCAAAGUAAAAGUGAAUUCUCCCUAGAUACUUCUAUUCAAUUUAAUUCCGGUCUGAAUAUAUAGACGGGUCUAAAGGUGCAAAGCCAUUUCAAUUUUCUCGUUUUUUUUUUUUUCGGUAAAUCAAUUGUGAAAUGCUUUUCUAUUUCUUUUCUAGAAUACUCAUUAUCUGCUUUACAUCCUCUAUGCGAAAGUGUUCAAUUUUCAUAAGGUCUUCUUGACGCGUAUUCAAAAGGUCGAAUAAUGUAUGUAUAUUGGACUUUUUGAGACAAUUAUAGAUCCUGGGAGACAUUUCUGAUUGGUCAAUAAAAAUCGAUUUCAAUGCGAUUUCUUUUUUCUUUUUCGUUAGUUUAGCCAAUCUAUCAUGAAAAGUAAAAAAGGGUAAAGUAAC
rnacentral:lncRNA from 1 species